GGAGGAGGAGCUCCGAGCGUGCUCUCUCCCGGCAGUGGCUGAGCGUCUCAGCGCUUGUCGGGUCCCCACCCCUUUUAAAUAAGCCGGGCUGGUCGCCGCCUUCACAGCCUAGUUGACUCCGGGGAGGCGGCGGCGGCGAGACAGCGGGGGUGCGGCCGGGCCCGGAGCCCUGCCCCGGGCCCGGCGGCGUGGCGGACAGGAGAGAGGCAGGCGAGGCCGCGUCUACCUGUGCGGCGCAGCCCCGGCAUAGCCCGGGUCUGCCGGUGCCCGCCGCUCCAUUGUUGGGGGAGGGGGCGGUCUCUGAGCUUGGCGGAGUCCGGGGCCGAGCGGAGGCGACGGCGGCGAGGAGCGGAGGCGCCCCAUGGGGAACACGUUGAGUUGUUGAGUGUGCCUCAAUGCCAACCGGCGCGUGGGGCCUGCGCCAGACUCCGAGUCUGAGGUCUCCGAGGCGGCGGCCGGAGACCCGGUGGCCGCAGCACCGGCGCCGGCUGCCGUGGAACCCACCGAGUUGGAUUUCCGAGCGGGUGAAGGCCACCACCUGCAGCACAUCACGACCGGGAGAUGCCCGAAGACUUAGCUUUGGAAUCAAACCCUUCUGACCACCCAAGGGCAAGCACAAUUUUCCUGAGCAAAUCUCAAACGGACGGUAUCUCCAGGGCAACUUACUAAAAAGUGUAGCUCAUGCCCAGCCAUAUUUCUAGAUGACAGCACAGUCAGCCAGCCUACUCUUAGAACCACAAUAAAAUGUGAGAUCUUAGAAAUAUAUUACCACAUAAAGAACAG